rnacentral:rRNA from 1 species
UAGCCGUACCAUGCAAGUCGAGCGGAUGAAGGGAGCUUGCUCCUGGAUUCAGCGGCGGACGGGUGAGUAAUGCCUAGGAAUCUGCCUGGUAGUGGGGGACAACGUUUCGAAAGGAACGCUAAUACCGCAUACGUCCUACGGGAGAAAGCAGGGGACCUUCGGGCCUUGCGCUAUCAGAUGAGCCUAGGUCGGAUUAGCUAGUUGGUGAGGUAAUGGCUCACCAAGGCGACGAUCCGUAACUGGUCUGAGAGGAUGAUCAGUCACACUGGAACUGAGACACGGUCCA